rnacentral:rRNA from 1 species
UACGGAGGGUGCAAGCGUUAUCCGGAUUUACUGGGUUUAAAGGGUGCGUAGGUGGGUAGGUAAGUCAGUGGUGAAAUCUUCGAGCUUAACUCGGAAACUGCCAUUGAUACUAUGUUUCUUGAAUUUUCUGGAGGUCAGCGGAAUAUGUCAUGUAGCGGUGAAAUGCUUAGAUAUGACAUAGAACACCAAUUGCGAAGGCAGCUGGCUACAGGGAUAUUGACACUGAGGCACGAAAGCGUGGGGAUCAAACAGG